UUUGGUCUGGUGAUCUGGCAAGAGGAAUAUGAAACCAAGGAUACAUGGCAAAACACUGCAAAUUCCAGACUUGCCCCUCCACAAUAAGGCACACAUGUAGUCUUUACACAUUAGAGUUGUCCCCAGAUGAAGACUGGAUCCUGGACCGGAUGGACAAAUCCCUGCUGUGUGAACACAGAGCCCCAUCAACUUCAAUGGGGAAGGAGGAGACAUUGAAUUAAUGUGAUGCAACUUGAUCAUCCAAACACAAUUUCAGGAAUUAUUUCCUCCCCUUCUUCUCCUCUACCCAUAAUUAAUAUUAUCCGCUACUGCCCUUUUAACAAUGACUGGAGGAGCAACAGAAUAAAAGUAGGGACCCAAGAAAGAAAAUAGUUUCUAUUCCUUCAUAUCAAGCUAGAUUUUGACUUACCUACACUGCACAUCAAUGUAAGGGAAUGAAGAAAAAUAUGAGGCUCUCAUUUAUGCUUCUACAUGACCUACCAGACACUUCAUGAAAGUAGAAACAGGAAACAUAGCCUGUCUAAUGUAGAAGAAAUUGUUUUUCUGGGUUUUUUCCCAACAUCCCAGAGCAAAGAGGAAGCAGGGGCUGGGAUUUGUCUCAGAGAGUUUUCUGAAGCACAGUUCUUUCUGAAUCUAGACACACACUUAGAGGUAUAUAUAUGCCCAUUUUAAAUAUACUGAAUCCAUUAUGUAUUCUGUCUUUCUGUGCACAUGUACACUCUCAUUUCACCAACACAAGUGUACAUAUGUUAAUUGAAUGAAAGAAGUGCUACAAAACAAUAUGGUGGCACAAGAAAAGAUCUACUUUCACCCCAGUAGAGCAUUUUGUUUUCCAUAUGCCACUUCAUGUGCUUCUGCCGUAUAUCUGUCUCGUGGCAAACAUAAAAUGGUUGGGUUCACUAUCAAUUACAGGCUGGAACAAGUUUGAUUUCAAUUACAACAGGAGAGGAAAACAGCUGGGAAAUCCCCAAGGGAAGUUGCAGGAACCAAGGGGGUGAAUCAAGCAUCAGAACGGUAUGCUGCACAGUACUAAUUAGGGAGAAAUGAAGUCAAGAUAUAUAGAUAUUUAUUUAUUUAUAUAAAAAAGCUUUAGUUGCUUUGCUUCACUGAGACCACAUUUGAGGACGGGGAAUAGACCUAGUUGGAUGGCAUCCAUUUGAAUUCAUAUUUAAUUGAUACUUUAUAUGUAUUGCUAUAAUGACAUCUCUAACCUAAAGACUAGUUUGCUUUAAAAAUUAAAUAAAAUAUCCCUAAUUAAAAAAAAUUAAAAGCCAAUGGAUUUCUAGCAUCACUGAAUUGCAUCUGAAUUAAAUGCCUGCUAUCAGCACUAACAGACACAGACAGUUAGUACUACAAGAGAAAGAACAUUUGUGACCAUUUUUAUUAAGGUUACUAAGACUCUCCCUGUGUGUGAGCUUUAAAUAAAUGACUUUCCA